GGAGGGUUGCGCCGAAUGGUAAGGCACUGGUUUCGAAAACCAGCGGGUGAAAACCCUUGCAGGUUCGAGUCCUGCACCCUCCG
rnacentral:tRNA from 1 species